AACAACCCGUAUUUUCUCACUUUCUUGCUCCUCUUCCAUGGAGGAAAUCGACCCCGACAUUUCCCGGUGGAUCCUCGAGUUCCUCCUCCGGCAGCCCCGCCUCGACGACGGCGCCGUCAAGCUCGCCCUCGCCGUCCUCCCCCUCCCCGACUCCGACCUCCGCCUCAAGAAAUCCGUCCUCCUCCGCUCCAUCCAGUCCGAGGUCGACGCCGCCUCCGUCUCCGAGGAGACCCUCGACGCCCUCGAGGCCAUCGAGGAGGUGGACCGGACGACGGCGGCCUGCGGCGGCCCGCCCGCCGUCUCCGACGCCAUGCGGGAGGCGUACCGCGCCGUCGCCGUGGAGUGCGCCGCCAGGUUCCUGCACGGGCGGGUGGACGAGGGGGGCGAGUAUUCCCGCGCCGUGGAGAGGAUAUGGCGGGGGAGGGUCCGGCGGAUGGAGGAGUCGGCGGUCAAGAGCGGGCUCCUCUCGCCGGAGCUGCUCCGGUGGGGGCGCCGCGUCGAGGCGGCGAUGCGCGAUGAGGGGGAGCGCGAGGGCGUGCUGGCGAUGAACACGAGGGGCGAUGCUUUCAGGUCGGUUAGGGCGUAUUUGGGCGAGGCGUGGGAGAGGAUGGGUCCUUCUUUCCUCGAGGUGGCGGCGAGCCGGAUGGCGGAGGAUAAUCCGUGUAGAGAACUGGUUGUCGUUGUCGCGAACGGUCGAGCGGAAUCCCGUGCGUGCGAGCGCGAUGAUUUGCCCGACGUUCGAGCGAGUGCCGGUCCGAAUAGCGAAAGGCCGGCUGUAAGGAUAGAAGAUGAUGGGGAAAUGCCUGAAACAUUGAAGCCGGUUGAGGGAUUGAUCAAAAGAAAGCAGCUUGCCCGCCAUAGGCGAUCCAAAGUGGGAGUUAAGAUCAUUGAUGAUAAUAGGGAAACUGAAAGAGAUGUUGCAUCGCGAUGCAGAUUUGAUACCGUCCCUUCGCCUGAUGUUAAUAGAGUUCAAGAGGCACUCAAAUCUAGUUCUGUGGAGCUGCGAGCAGCAGUCGUGGACCCACUUCCUGAUGCGAUACGGUUGGCUGAUUCCCUUGUGCGAAAUGCUGCUGGAUCGCCUACGAAUUUUGAAUGUGCAGAAGCACAGAUUAGGGAAGAUGUUAAUGCAUCCGAUGCCUACGCUGACCAGAAUGUUGGGCCUGUUCCAGGCGGUGAAGAAAAUCAUGUUAACCAGUCAACCAGCCAUCAGAAUAAGCAGUGUAAACCUAGUUUGUUUGAGAGGAACAGCUCUGCUCGCACCUAUGAGUGGGAUGAUACAAUAGAUGACUCACCUGAAGAACCUUCGGGCUCCGAUAGGGUUGUGUUACCCAGCCCAAGAAGAAGCACCGUUUCUCCAUUGAGGAAGCCAUUGACUCGGAGUUUGAAAGUUUCUGGACGGAGAAAAGCAAAGAGAUGGAGUUUGGAGGAAGAAGAAACUUUGAGGAAUGGUGUUCAGAGGUUUGGCAAAGGAAAUUGGAAGCUCAUCCUACACUGCUACCGCCACAUUUUUGAGGAGAGAACUGAGGUGGACCUGAAGGACAAAUGGAGGAACAUGAACCGCUACUGAAGUGCAAAUAGCUGGUGUUUCAACCAGUGCUGGAGAGGCUUGCCAGCCUGUCGAUCGCUUGCCAGUGCGGAAGAUUGCCAGCCUCAGAAGUUUCAAGGAAUGGGCUAUGACAUGUAGCAUCCAGAAUCCGGAUUCUCUUCUUGACGCAUGUAUACACAAUGGAAGCAAACAUAUAUUUGACUAGUUUGCUUCCUCAAAUUAUAUUUUAUCAGGUAAAAUCCUCGAUCACUGCACGAAAGUGGCACAAAAAAGUUGCACAAGAUCUGGACAUCCACCCAAUUGAAGUCUCAAAGUAUUUUUAUUCAAACAGCACUCCAACCAGGUUCCUUCUUUACUUUAGCUCCUUUCAUUGAGCUUCUAAUGUUCAUGACUUCUCCCCACUGGCCCAUGUCAGCGUAGAUGUUUGACAAAGAAAUAUAAGCUCCAGCAUCAGAUGGCUCGCACUCA